AGCAGCCGCGGUAAUUCCAGCUCCAAUAGCGUAUAUUAAAGUUGUUGCAGUUAAAAAGCUCGUAGUUGAAUUUCGGGAUCAAUUUAUCGGUCGUGCCAAUGGUAUGAACUGGUACAAUUGGUUUCUCCCUUCUGACGAAGCAUGAUGUCAUUAAUUUGGUGUCGUGGGGAAUCAGGACUGUUACUUUGAAAAAAUUAGAGUGUUUAAAGCAAGCAUUAGCUUGAAUACAUUAGCAUGGAAUAAUGAAAUAGGACGUUUGAUCCUAUUUCGUUGGUUUCUAGGAUCGACGUAAUGAUUAAUAGGGAUAGUUGGGGGCAUUAGUAUUCAAUUGUCAGAGGUGAAAUUCUUGGAUUUAUUGAAGACUAACUACUGCGAAAGCAUUUGCCAAGGAUGUUUUCAUUAAUCAAGGACGAAAGUUAGGGGAUCGAAGACGAUCAGAUACCGUCGUAGUCUUAACCAUAAACUAUGCCGACUAGGGAUCGGAUGAUGUUAAUUUUUUAAUGACUCA
rnacentral:rRNA from 1 species